rnacentral:lncRNA from 1 species
UGCAGUUUACCAUUAACCACAAUCAGUUAAUAGUCAAGACUCUGGCACCAUAUGGUCCCAAGUUGUCUGAUUAAAAAUACACCCUUUAAUGUGAUUUCUUAAGUCUCUGCUCCCUCACAGCCCCUGAAGCAGGUGCUGCAGUGCGGUUUAUGCUCCUGGAGUGAGGACACAGCCCUGUCUGGGGAGCGGCUUUGCGUCUGCUUGGCUGGGCCAUUGGCGAGCUCUGCCCUUCAGUGCUGGCAGCCACCUGAGCCCUGGUGUCCUGACGUCACCUGGAAGGACACAGCCCACAGGCUGAUGGUAAAGGUGGAGGGAGGUGAUUCUCAUGCAGGACUAGCAUGGUGCUUCCUGUGCCUGUGCCCAAGCCUGGGGGUUUAUUCCAGUUCCAGAGCUACUUCCUGACUGCUCACUGUUUACUAAUGAUAUGGUCCCCAAGAUAUCGGGCAAGCGACAGACAGGUCAGUUUUAGUUAAAAGGUGACAAGAGCUACUGUGACGAGGAAGGAGAAAGCCAGAGCCAGAGGAGACAGGCCGGCUUCUCAGCUCCUUAGAGGAGAUGAAACGGGCUCCAGUCUGGGAGGUGAACAGGCCUUGGGCAGAGGGUGGAAGUGGGGCGGUUGUGCUUUGCAGCAGAGCAAGUUGCCGAGGAGCCUGGCAAGAGCAUGUGUGGGUGGCACAGAAUUCCCAGAAAGCCCCAGGGUGCAGAGCACACGAAAUGCUCCCUGGGCCGCGCCUGCUCAGCCUUCACUUACCUGCUGUCCCCAGGGCCAUCCGAUCACCGUGAGCCAGCAUUUUCCAACGGUCCCCUGGCCACCAACUGGGCCACUGCGGCAAGGACAGAUCACGGCUAAGGCAGCGGGGCUGCUGGCUGAGACAGCUCACCCAGUCGCCUGGGGCAGGCCUGUCAGAGCGCCGGACGGAAGAGGCUAGGCCUGAGGUCGGGCAGCCUGGCUGGGCCUGGUGGGGCCUGUGCUGGCUGUGGACUGCAUGCACGGUGAAGGACAGCCCGCUGGCCACUCUGUCUCAGAGAAGCGACGCUGUUCUGUUCAGACCCCCAGCCCCUGCACUGAGGGCAGAGUUCAGUGUGCAUGGGGGAGACACAGCACCUGCGGCACUGUAACACUGCCUGGCCUUCACAGUCAGUGCCCUGGUGGUUGGCAAGCAGCUGGGGGGUCAUGCAGCACCCUCCCAAUGUGCUUGCACACAGGACACCUGGGAAUUUGCAUUUCAAGCACAGCUAAGACAACAGAGGCUCUGGAUACAUUCACUGUGGAAGAGUCAAUCGCUCCUGUCGCAGGGUGGGGUGCUGCAUGGACGCUCCCUGAGUAUGGUCUCUGGUAAGAGUCCCGGUGUCCUGGAGAGGGGACAGCUGAGCUUCCUCAACAAAUGGCAGUGCUGCAGCAAGGAAUCCAUGAGCAGCACCCAGGAACCGUAGGGAACAUGAGGCUGAUGGACUUUGCUGUCCUGCUUCACUAGAGGUUAAAGUCAUUCGGAAGAUGCAUGGAUCUCUAAGGACACAGGUGUCUCACGGGAAGCUGAGUGUUUCCGUCUCUGAAGCCCUGGAGGGACAUUUGACACAGAACUGAGGAGGGUUUGUGGCCUUGCUGUGAGGCAUCCACGGAACGUAAACGUGGAAUCUGAUGCAGCACACAGGUGGGCACCGAGUGCCCCCGGGAGCUCAGGUCCUCUGAGUGGACAGCGCCCCAUGACUAGGGAAAAACACAGAUGAUUUUACAAAAAGCAAUUUGCAAAAAAGCUUUCUCUUUCAGGGAAUUGCUGUCAGAGGAUGAGCCAUUUACAGAAUUGGCUUUUCCCUGGUUGGUCCCUGGCAAAUUAUUGUAGGAAAACUGACCUAGAGCUACCAGGAAAACUGUCUGAUGUGAGAAGAAUUUAUGGUGAAGAAGACCUUUGGGCUUAGAGUCGGCAGAAAGAGAAAUCCAAACAAGAGAAAUGAAGGGCCAUGAAAGCCGUUGUAUUUUUACUAGGGCAAUAAUGUACACUGCCAAAGGAGUGUUUAUUCAUAGAAAAUUAGUAGCAAGCGGAGCUGGAAACAGCGGGAAGGUGUGUGUGUGCCCGGUGCUGUGCUUAAGUGCUCCAGGCUCAGGGUUAACUGAGCUCCUGUUUCUAUCAAUAGACCACUGUUACCAGUGUGAGUCAGCGUUGUCCCAGACUUUUACAAGGCCGAGCUGAACCCAGACCUACCGCCCGUAAUAGCGAUGAGCACCCACAGCAGACACAUUGCACAAGGGUAACUCAUAGUGGCAGUCAUAUUUCAGGAGGGAAAUAAUACCAGUACUUUAUUUGUGAGAUGCUUUGCUUGAAUAAGAAAUGACUGUGUUUCUUGGAUUCUAAUUCUGGCUCUUUAAUAAUUAAUAAACUCAUGGAUUUCUUCAGCAAUGAUCACCCAGGCCAAGACCUAUUCCUAGGAGCUCAGGUCUUCAACAAAGAAUAAGCAGGAGACACAGUUUCCACCUCCAGGGUUUGUCUUGUCUGUGUUUGACCAGCUAACCAUGAGUUGGUUUUAGCGGAGGAUGUGGCGGGAGGUGAACAUCAUUACAAGUGCACUGUAAAGUAGGAAGGACAAAGCAAAGCGACUAGAGACCAAAGUGGGAAUGGAGGACAUGGCGAGCAUCUGCAGCAGUGGCUCCUCGGUUCCCUGGACACUGGGGCAACUAUGCUAAUGAGCGGUGAGGAUACACUCGAGGGGAGAAGGCCUGGCAUUGCAGGAUUACAAAGAAGAUAAGAGAAGAACACGGAGGCUGUGUUUGAAUCUUACUUUUUUCUACCUAAAUCCAAGCAGCCAGAGGCCAGUUUCCCUCCACUCCUUUCAGAGUUGGACUAUGCCCCACACUUCCUGGGCAGCGUAGCUCCAUCCCUGCCCCCGUCUGCAAUGCUUUCUUCCUCCUCUCUGUCCAAAUUCUGUCUCUUAUGGCCUAGCUGAUGAUAUCUGCACUCUCUGAAGAUUUUCCUGAUGUAUCUUAACAUAUUACUGUUUUGUAUCAUUGUUUCAUUGGGAAACAACCAUUUAUUGAGUGUCAACUCUGUGUCAGAUGUGAUUGUAGGACCAGGGAUAUAGCAGUGAAUAAAAUCAGGUUCUCUUUCUCAUGGUGCUUCGUUCAAAAGGGAAAAUAUGACAAAGAAAAUAAGUUGUCUUGAUGUUGGCUGAUGGACGCAGAGAGAGAGAGACGGAGAUGGCAGAGGUAGAGGUAGAUGCGUGGACAGAUGGUCGGGUGGGUGGAGCUUGAGAGGACAGAUGGACUUCGUUGAGAGAGCCAUAGAGACAAACUGAGCGAGCAGCUUCUAUGUGUGGUGGGCUGACAGUGCAGCCGAGAGGCUGUGCUGUUGCCUCCUCCACCAUACUGCAGAGAAGGACCCUGCUGUUCUGCUCUGCAAAAUCUUUUCAGUGCCAGGGCACAGGACUGGACUUGGGUAAGAGGCUUAACAGAUAUUUGUUUGUUGACACUGUUUUUCACUUUUUAUUCAGCCAUUUCAGCAUGGCAGAUGCAGUUCAGUUUCCACUGAAGUGUAAUUUGCCCUCCACAGGCUGGCUUAGAGAUUUGUUGGGUUUCAUAUUUGUAUGCAAAGCAAGAUGCUCCACAUAAAUCCAAGGGGAUUCAGUAACCAUUUUUGGCAGCAGUUUCUCCCUCAUGCAUCAAUUUUUUUCUUUCUUGGCUUUCCCUGGUGACCCUGCAUCACUAGGGGUUCUUAGAGCAAUUACUAUGGCUGCACCCAGUGACCCUUCACCUUCCCUAACAGUUGGACAAAUCAGGCAAGGAAGGAAUGGGGCGGAGUGAAGGCUGGGGAGGGCUGGGGGGCCUGUGUGGCCAGCGACUUGCCCCAGUCUCUCUAUUCCUGUUGCAGGAGGGCACAUGUUGCUGUAAAAAAGAGAAACUGGAUAUUUGCCUGGGAAGUUUUCGAGACUCUGCCAGGAAGAAGAAAAAAGGAGCAGGAGAAGAAGGAAGAGGGGCAAGGAAAAGCACAAAUCUCGGGGGUCAAAAAUGACAGGUGCAGCUACCCCCUGAGACUGAAGUGGACGGUGUCCUUCCUGUGUCAGGAUCAGCGGUGGGACCCAUCUCCGAGUGACAGCCAGGGCUUGAGGAAGGAAUAUUUACACCAACAAUAGAAGGAAGAUCAAGAGGGAACAGCUAAGUCAUGGACUCAACAGCAAGUGUCAACCUUUCACACGUAAUGAAUUCUGUUUAAGGCUACCAUCAAGACCGGUCCCUGUCAGCUAAGGUAGGAACUAAGAAACUAAUGAGAGCAAUCAGAUUUUUAAAUGCUUUACGUACCACUGGAAUUUAUGUCUUAAUUUAAUUGCCGAAUUCUUAAUCUGAUUAGAGCCUGUAAAGGAAUAAAAUUGGAUUUGGAAAAAAUAGAUAAAAUAAGUUUUCCUUUACAUAUUCACAAGUCAUCCCAAACUGCAUGUUUCUUAUAAGAUUAAUACAAAUGUUUUAGCUCAUUUUCAUUGCAUCCGAGCAAACACAUUAUCUCCCAGGAAACAGCAUGGAACGAUAAUAUGCCACACAUCCAGCCAUAGAAGAAGUUCUUGAAUAUAAAGUCAUCUGGCUAAACUGCCUGGAAAUGAGCGGGGUCACAGUCACGGAGAUGAAGCUAAAUGACAUCGCGUUUCUCCCAUGGCUCCCAGGACAUGAGAUUCUCACUACCAGUGGGACCGGCUUAUGAGUCUCUGUCCACUAGAUGUUUCUCUGGCUUCUGCAGAGUGUUCCCAAAUCAUUUCAUUCACUCACCAAAUAUUUAUUCAGUGCCUACUGUGUGCCAGGCACUCACUGUUCCAGGUGCAGGGGCACCGAGGCCGAGCGAAGAACAUUAAAGUCUCUCUGAGAUGCAGCUCCUAGUAGACAUGGCCAACUUCCCAUUGUAAACUGUGCUUCUUCAAUGUGUGAUUUUUAAAAAGAGGCUCAAAAAUGGUCUUACACAUUUAAGAGGAUGAUAUGACAAGGAAUAGGGUUAGAAAGGGGAGGUCAUAAAAUUCAGUUAGACAAGGUGAAAAGCAAGACCACAUUGGAGCACAAGAAGCAACACACAUGCAGAGACCGAGCAGAGGCCUGGAGCCACACCAGCCCCGCUCAGGGCUUCAUGUCCACUAGCUCCCUCAUCUUCCCGGCACCCGGAGAGCUGGAACCCUCCUACUACCUGCAUUCUACAGAAGCGGAGACUGAGCUCGGAGUAACUGCCUUGUCUCACACCGUCCCACACAUGGCAGCCAAGAAGAGAGCUGACCAAGGAAGUGAAGACGAAGCAGCCUGGGCCCACUGACCUGGUGGGAAGCGGGAGAGAGACAAACUGUGGCGAGCUGGAAACGCUCGGGAUCUUACUUCAGGGGCCGUUUUAAGUGGACUGCACGCAUGGUCCUUCUGUCCCCAGAGUCGAGGAUGCCACAAGCCUCUGACUCUAACACCAAGACCCGGAACCCACCACAUGAUAGAUCCAGCUGUUCCCUGAAGCAGCUAUUGAGUUUUUAGCGAUAUCUAAAAUACAAGCUCUUCUGAAGUUGGGAAAGUUAAGGCAGAGCCUUCGCAUUUUUCUCUCAUCUAGGAAGCCAGAUCUCUGUGGGGAGGGGAGAAAGCGCCGGUGGGUGGCCAAGCUCGGAGUCUGUCCUGUGUGUUCAUCGUCCCCAGGGUGGCUGGCCUGGGGCGGUCUCUCUCCACGCUGGCACUCGUCCGCUGCCUCCUCCUCUGACUGUGCUUGCAGGAGCUGUGUCCAGUGCAGAAUCAGCAGGGCCCUUCUGACAUGCUCCGGGAAGGCUGCUCAGCCCUGCCCGAGCCCACUGUGCUGGGAUGCCGGAUUCCCUCCAGCCUGCGUACUUCCUGGGAUUCGCCAGAAAGCAGACCUGGGCAGGCAGGGCCAGCCCUGGCACCUCUAGGGGGUGGGGCAGCGGCUAGGUUUUGGGUUCUGGGCGCUGAGAACAAUGGGAAGCGAUUCGAUCGCAGGCCCAAGCCACGGCCUCCACACGCCAGCAGGGCUCUGGGGCUGAGGGACAGACACAGGCCCACUCGGAGAGCAGCCUGUGUACAACUGCAUGGGCCCAGUGACCUUCCCGCCCACGCCAGCCGUGGGCUCUGGCGGUGUCUGUUCCCGGUCCGAGCAGGG